rnacentral:rRNA from 3 species
GGGUUGUGAGGUUAAGCGACUAAGCGUACACGGUGGAUGCCCUGGCAGUCAGAGGCGAUGAAGGGCGUACUAAUCUGCGAUAAGCGCCGGUAAGGUGAUAUGAACCGUUAUAACCGGCGAUACCCGAAUGGGGAAACCCAGUGUGAUUCGUCACACUAUCAUUAACUGAAUCCAUAGGUUAAUGAGGCGAACCGGGGGAACUGAAACAUCUAAGUACCCCGAGGAAAAGAAAUCAACCGAGAUUCCCCCAGUAGCGGCGAGCGAACGGGGAGGAGCCCAGAGCCUGAAUCAGCAUGUGUGUUAGUGGAAGCGUCUGGAAAGGCGCGCGAUACAGGGUGACAGCCCCGUACACAAAAGCGCAUGUGCUGUGAGCUCGAUGAGUAGGGCGGGACACGUGGUAUCCUGUCUGAAUAUGGGGGGACCAUCCUCCAAGGCUAAAUACUCCUGACUGACCGAUAGUGAACCAGUACCGUGAGGGAAAGGCGAAAAGAACCCCGGCGAGGGGAGUGAAAAAGAACCUGAAACCGUGUACGUACAAGCAGUGGGAGCACAGGUUUACCUGUGUGACUGCGUACCUUUUGUAUAAUGGGUCAGCGACUUAUAUUCUGUAGCAAGGUUAACCGAAUAGGGGAGCCGGAGGGAAACCGAGUCUUAAUUGGGCGUUAAGUUGCAGGGUAUAGACCCGAAACCCGGUGAUCUAGCCAUGGGCAGGUUGAAGGUUGGGUAACACUAACUGGAGGACCGAACCGACUAAUGUUGAAAAAUUAGCGGAUGACCUGUGGCUGGGGGUGAAAGGCCAAUCAAACCGGGAGAUAGCUGGUUCUCCCCGAAAGCUAUUUAGGUAGCGCCUCGUGAAUUCAUCUCCGGGGGUAGAGCACUGUUUCGGCUAGGGGGCCAUCCCGGCUUACCAACCCGAUGCAAACUGCGAAUACCGGAGAAUGUUAUCACGGGAGACACACGGCGGGUGCUAACGUCCGUCGUGAAGAGGGAAACAACCCAGACCGCCAGCUAAGGUCCCAAAGUCAUGGUUAAGUGGGAAACGAUGUGGGAAGGCCCAGACAGCCAGGAUGUUGGCUUAGAAGCAGCCAUCAUUUAAAGAAAGCGUAAUAGCUCACUGGUCGAGUCGGCCUGCGCGGAAGAUGUAACGGGGCUAAACCAUGCACCGAAGCUGCGGCAGCGACACUGUGUGUUGUUGGGUAGGGGAGCGUUCUGUAAGCCUGCGAAGGUGGCCUGUGAGGGUUGCUGGAGGUAUCAGAAGUGCGAAUGCUGACAUAAGUAACGAUAAAGCGGGUGAAAAGCCCGCUCGCCGGAAGACCAAGGGUUCCUGUCCAACGUUAAUCGGGGCAGGGUGAGUCGACCCCUAAGGCGAGGCCGAAAGGCGUAGUCGAUGGGAAACGGGUUAAUAUUCCCGUACUUGGUGUUACUGCGAAGGGGGGACGGAGAAGGCUAUGUUGGCCGGGCGACGGUUGUCCCGGUUUAAGCGUGUAGGUGUGUGUUCCAGGUAAAUCCGGUUCACUUUAACACUGAGGCGUGACGACGAGGCACUACGGUGCUGAAGCAACAAAUGCCCUGCUUCCAGGAAAAGCCUCUAAGCAUCAGGUAACAUCAAAUCGUACCCCAAACCGACACAGGUGGUCAGGUAGAGAAUACCAAGGCGCUUGAGAGAACUCGGGUGAAGGAACUAGGCAAAAUGGUGCCGUAACUUCGGGAGAAGGCACGCUGACACGUAGGUGAAGUGAUUUACUCAUGGAGCUGAAGUCAGUCGAAGAUACCAGCUGGCUGCAACUGUUUAUUAAAAACACAGCACUGUGCAAACACGAAAGUGGACGUAUACGGUGUGACGCCUGCCCGGUGCCGGAAGGUUAAUUGAUGGGGUCAGCGCAAGCGAAGCUCCUGAUCGAAGCCCCGGUAAACGGCGGCCGUAACUAUAACGGUCCUAAGGUAGCGAAAUUCCUUGUCGGGUAAGUUCCGACCUGCACGAAUGGCGUAAUGAUGGCCAGGCUGUCUCCACCCGAGACUCAGUGAAAUUGAACUCGCUGUGAAGAUGCAGUGUACCCGCGGCAAGACGGAAAGACCCCGUGAACCUUUACUAUAGCUUGACACUGAACAUUGAGCCUUGAUGUGUAGGAUAGGUGGGAGGCUUUGAAGUGUGGACGCCAGUCUGCAUGGAGCCGACCUUGAAAUACCACCCUUUAAUGUUUGAUGUUCUAACGUGGACCCGUUACCCGGGUUGCGGACAGUGUCUGGUGGGUAGUUUGACUGGGGCGGUCUCCUCCUAAAGAGUAACGGAGGAGCACGAAGGUUGGCUAAUCCUGGUCGGACAUCAGGAGGUUAGUGCAAUGGCAUAAGCCAGCUUGACUGCGAGCGUGACGGCGCGAGCAGGUGCGAAAGCAGGUCAUAGUGAUCCGGUGGUUCUGAAUGGAAGGGCCAUCGCUCAACGGAUAAAAGGUACUCCGGGGAUAACAGGCUGAUACCGCCCAAGAGUUCAUAUCGACGGCGGUGUUUGGCACCUCGAUGUCGGCUCAUCACAUCCUGGGGCUGAAGUAGGUCCCAAGGGUAUGGCUGUUCGCCAUUUAAAGUGGUACGCGAGCUGGGUUUAGAACGUCGUGAGACAGUUCGGUCCCUAUCUGCCGUGGGCGCUGGAGAACUGAGGGGGGCUGCUCCUAGUACGAGAGGACCGGAGUGGACGCAUCACUGGUGUUCGGGUUGUCAUGCCAAUGGCACUGCCCGGUAGCUAAAUGCGGAAGAGAUAAGUGCUGAAAGCAUCUAAGCACGAAACUUGCCCCGAG